UGCCCAGCAACUCCUAUCCCUAUCUCCUCGCGGUACUGGCCGGGGUACGAGUAACCUUAGGGAAGAUCGGGUAACCAACCCCCGGUGGGAACUUUGGUCGUAUGCUGACAGGGAAGG
rfam:Aedes aegypti strain Liverpool supercont1.99 genomic scaffold, whole genome shotgun sequence.